UUGGAGGGCAAGUCUGGUGCCAGCAGCCGCGGUAAUUCCAGCUCCAAUAACGUAUAUUAAAGUUGUUGCAGUUAAGAAGCUCGUAGUUGAAUUUCGGGGUUAGUAGGUUGGUCAUGCCUCUGGUAUGUACUGGUCUCACUGAUUCCUCCUUCCUGAUGAGCCGUAAUGCCAUUAAUUUGGUGUUGCGGGGAAUUUGGACUGUUACUUUGAAAAAAUUAGAGUGUUUAAAGCAAGCUAACGCUUGAAUACAUUAGCAUGGAAUAAUGAAAUAGGACGUUCGAUCCUAUUUUGUUGGUUUCUAGGAUUGACGUAAUGAUUAAUAGGGAUAGUUGGGGGCAUUAGUAUUCAAUUGUCAGAGGUGAAAUUCUUGGAUUUAUUGAAGACUAACUACUGCGAAAGCAUUUGCCAAGGAUGUUUUCAUUAAUCAAGAACGAAAGUUAGGGGAUCGAAGACGAUCAGAUACCGUCGUAGUCUUAACCAUAAACUAUGCCGACUAGGGAUCGGAUGAUGUUAAUUUUUUAAUGACUCAUUCGGCGCCUUACGGGAAAC
rnacentral:rRNA from 1 species